rnacentral:piRNA from 1 species
UUGGUUUUUUGUUACAGGAAU